rnacentral:tRNA from 1 species
GGAGGGGUCGCAUAGUGGCCUAGUGCGCUCGCUUGGAAAGCGAGUAUGGGUGCAAGCCCAUCGCGGGUUCGAAUCCCGCCUCCUCCG